GUGGCCAAUGAACGAUACCCGGCACUCCUCUCUCGGACUUAGCCACGCCCUUCAUUAGUUCCUGAGGGGAUUUUUCAGAACAGAGGUUAUGGCAGUUUCACCAUCCAAUUCCAUUUUUAUCAGGUGUGCUUCCUGGCCAAAGAAGUCAGAUGAGUGCAUGAGCAGCCCCUUUGAGGACAAGGCUUGGAUUCCCAGGAGCAGACAAGGAACUCUGUGGGCAUACUCCAAGGAAACUGGGCCUCCUCUGUCACAGGAAAUCCACUGUUUAAGCACCACCACUACCUCAGGAAGUCCACUGUCUGUGUGUCAACUCCACUGUUACAGGACCACAAGUGUCUCAGCACUUCAACUAUCACAGCACUUCUACUGUUCAGGAUCUCAAGAGUCUCAGCAUCUCAAGUGUCACAGGACCUCCUUUGUCCAAGAACUGGACUGUCCAAGCAACACUACUAUUGCAGGACUUCCACUGUAGGAGCACUACAACUGUCUCAGGACACCCACUGUCCUAUAACCUCCACUAUCCCAGGAAUUCCACUGUCGUAGCACCACCCGUAGCAACUAAAGUGUUUCAGGACAUCAACUGAAGCAAGAUCUCCCAUGAUGCUGCAACUUCACUGCCACAGGAUCUCUACAGUGACAGGAAUACCCCUGUAUCAGCAAUUCCAAUUUUGCAGGACCUCCACUGUAGCAGAACCUUCAAUUGUGCAGCAGCUCCCCUGUAAGUAGAUUGACCGCCACGAUCUCAGUGCCUCCACUUUCAAAGGACCUUCACUGUCACAGAACCGGCGCUAUUUCAGUGCCUCCACUGUCGCAGGACCUACCUCUUCACAGGAUCUGCACUGUUGCAGCAACUGUAAUUUCAAUUUUUCAAAGUCAUUGCUGUUUAUAUUUGAGGCUGAAUGAAAUGUGAUGCUACUUUUGACAGCAUAAGAAUUUGUUCUAUAGCUCUUGUGAUAAAUGCCGUGUGUGCUAGGACCAGUAACCUAUGGAAGACUUCAUGAGCUCAUACCACUCUCCACCUCACUUUGUGGAAGCUGGUGUUUUUAGAGUGUGAUAAACUUCAGGUGAAUGGAUUCAUUCAGCUGCACCACGCUCUAUAGUGUGCUACACAGCAGUCAUAUUGAGUCCUUGCUGGGAAGAGAAGAAAUCCAGAAGAGGGAGAAGGCUUGGGUUGGGGGAAGAAUCAUAAAAUACUUAGAGGAUAUAAGAAGGUAAGAAUUAUGGGGAACUGGAAAACAGAGCCAGAGGAAGAAUGAGCACAGAGCAAACUGGGAAGGACAAAGUACAAAGGCACAUGGGUUUUGCCAUCUGCGUGUUCUCUGGACAAUCUCCCUUGGCCUCAUUUCUGGGAGAAAACUCUUCCUCCACCCCCUUGUAAUGUUUCAUUCUUGAAGUAAAGCAGCAACACAACUUCAUCAGUGAAUUUCCCCAUUGGAAUUGGUUCAUCCUUUAAUGCCUCUGGGAAAUCCCCAGCAGGGGAAUGUCCUGCUCUCUGCUGAGAGACAGCAGGAAAGUAGGUUGUCCUCUGUUUUCUCGUUGCUACAGCUCUUCUAUGUGUGGAUGAUUGUUGAGUGAAGACACAGGACACUUCUGGUGUGUAUGUUUGCUUUGUUCACUAUGGGUGUUGUCGGGAGUGUCCUGAAAAGAAGAAGGGCAUGCCCAAUGGCUCUUUGCUUCCUCUUUGACUAGCCUUAUGAUCAUAGAGAUACACUAGGCCAUUGGAAGAUGAGGAGAACAAUGUGUCUAUGUUGUGUUCACUUCUAUUCCUAUUUAGUCCUAGAGGGAAAUCAGCAAGGGUAGAGAAUGGGACCGUAACUGGACAAAGCUGCUGAGCCUGUGUUGUGAAGCAAUUCCUGUGUAUAACUUGCUGUUACAUUAAGCAAUAGGAUGCCAUGUUCUGUUUAUACCUUUUUGAUGCAAUGAAUCUAUAAUAUUUUACCUCAAACCUCAAUAUAUUACGUUUCUUCCUCUUUUGGAGUAUCUGGCAUGGGAGGGAUCACUUCUUCAUAAGGAUUUGUGAACCUCUUCUGGUUUUAUUGACCAGGGGUACAUCAUCACCUCUGAGACUGUCAGCCCAUAGUUUGGAUUGACUUUUAUUAAGAGGCUAAGCUGCCUCUUCUGACACCCCACAGUGAGCAGGGUACACACCUGCUACAACCUGUCUUCUGAACUGUUGUAUGACAACAGAGUCAAAUACAAGAGUGAAAUAUAAGCCUACUCCUAAGAUCCAUAUAUUGUUGUUUUUUUUUUUUUGCACCAUCAUAAAGUUGUCCUAGGAAGAGAUCAGGUGCACCAAUAGGGUAAGCACCAUGCUGCCAGUUCAGCAUUUGCCCAGGUUUGUCUUGAGUUGAAGGCCAAAGUCGAUGCGUUUGACUUUUCCGUUCUUCUCUAACAAAAUAUAAUCUGGUUUCAGGUCACUGUGAACUUAUACAGUGCCCAUAGCCAUAGAUAAAGCCUGCUAACAUUUGCCUAAAUAUUUCCUUGGCUCCUUCCUCCUCUCGGUGGAAAGAUUUUCAGAUGUAUUUGUAAAGCUGUAAAAUUUCAACCAGUUUCACGAUAAGUUAUUAGAAUUGUCUCAGACUCAAUUGGAGAAGCAAGAUGAUGUUGGGGUGGAUGAAAAACUUCAUUAUAUUUGCCAUGGUCAUGUUUGGCUGGCACCAUUGCUUCUUCUUUGCAUGCACUUUGAUAACCCCUGUAUCAGAACUUCCACUGUCCCAGCACCUGAACUAUCCCAAGACCUCCACAGUCAAAGGACCAAUAUUGUGGUAGGGUGUCUGUGGUCAGGCAACUCCUCUGUCUCAGACCCUCCAAAUUGCAAGACCUUUACGGGCACUGGAAGUCACUGUGCCUAAACUUCCACUGUUGGAGUACCUCAAGUAUAACAAAGACCUCUACUAUUGUACAACCCCCUUGUCAUAGCACGUCUAUUGUUACAAAGUAGUCCACUGUCAAAGGACCUCCAGGGUCUCAAUCUCUCCACUGUUACAGGAUCUCUACUGUCUUAGGACCACUGCUGUUGGAGGACCUCCUGUCUCUCAUCAACUUCAGUUUGUUGGAGCUCUCCUAUCAGAGGACAUUUACAUUUUCUGUACUUCCAGUGUCACAGCUGUUAUAAGAACCUCCAUUCUCACAGGACCUCCAGUGCGUCAGUACCUCCACUGUCCAAGGACUUUUAUAUUGUAGGACCUCUACUGUCCUACAGAAUGUCCACUGUCGCUAGAUUUCCACUGUCACAACACCGCAACCAUUACAAGAACUGCAAUUUUGGCAUGACCUCCAGUGUUCCAGCCCCUCCAGUGUCAUAGGACCUCCACUAUCACAGGACGUCCACUGUCUCACCAAGGCCAAUUUAAAGGACCUCUACUAUAACAGGAUAUCCACUGUAGCUGGACUUACACUGUUGCAGUACCUCAACUGUUGCAGGACCAACAAGGUUGCAGGACAUAGACCCCCUCAGCAGCUAGAAUUUGCAGGACCUCUACUGGCACAAAAAUUCCACAGUUCCUGGAGCUCCACUGUCACUGCAAAUGCACUGUCUCAUGAUAUUCACUGUUGCUGGACCAGUAGUGUGGCAGCACAUCCAUUUUUGCCAAGCCCCUCCACUGACGCAAGACUUCCACUUUUGUAGCACCUUCACUGUCCAAGCAAACCAACUCCUGCAGGAUCUCCAUUGUCUCAGGGCAUUCACUAAUGCCAGCUCUCCAAUGUUGUAGGAUAUCCACUUUCACAACAGCUAGAAUCUUGCAGGACCUCUACUGGCAAAGACAGUCCACUGCUGCUGGCUCUCUACAGUCAGUGCCAAUGCAUCGAUUCAUGACCUCCAUUGUCACAUGACCUCCACUUUUGUAGGACCUUCACUGUCCAGGCAAACUGCAGGAUCUCCAGUGUCUCAGGACAUUUACUGGUGCAGAGCCUCCCUUUAUUCCAGACUUCAACUAUUCCAAGGUCAUCUACAAUGUCUUAGGACCUCCAAUAUUGCAGGACCUCAAAUGUCCCAGGACCUCAGGUGACAUAGCACCUCCAUUGUCCCAACACCCUUACUGUCCCAGAACCUCAAUUUUCCCAUGACCUAUUCAGUUGCAUGACCUCCAAAGUUGGAAGAACUGCACGGUAUGAGAGCCUCAACUGUUGUAGGACCUCCAAUGUUGUAGGAACACAAUAUUCCUACACUGGACCUACACUGUCCAUCACCUUCACUUUCCUAGCACCUCCACUCUCACAGGACCUACACUGUUGCAGGAACUCCAUUGUCUGAGCACCUGCAUGUCUCAGGACCUCGAAUGAUCCAGAACCCCUAAUGGUGCGGGACCUCCACUGUCACCAGACUUCCACUGUCUCAGGACAUCCACUCUAUCACCAACUAGACUUUUGCAGAACUUCUACUGGAACAGGAUCUCCAUUGUGGCUGGUCUUACAUUGUCUAAAGCCUCCACUAUCACAGACUUUCAGAUGAAUUUGUAAAGCUGUAGAACUUCAAAGAGCUCCAUGAGAAGGUAUAGACAUGUCUCAGACUCAAUUCCUUGGUGAAGCAAUAUGAAUUUGGGGUGGAUUAAUAUCUUCAUUAUAUUUGCCAUGGUCUGGUCUGGGUGGCAUCCUUGCUGCUUCUUUCCAUGCAUUUUGAUAACCAUUGUAGCAGUACUUCCACUGUCCCAGAACCUGCACUACCCUAAGAACUCCCUUGUCACAGGACAUCCACUGUGGUAGUACUUCGGAUGUCAGGAAACUCCACAGACUCAGUACCUCCAAACUGCAAGAUCUCUACUGGCACAGGAAUUCUACUGUCCCUGAACAUCCACUGUCACAGCACUUCAACUGUUUCAAGGACCUCUAUUGUCGCAAUACCUCCUAUAUCACGGUUAUAAGGACCUGCAUUGUCAUAAGACCUCCAUUGUCUCAGCCCUUCCACUUUCUCAGGACCUCCAAGCUGCAGGAACUCUACUGGCACAGGUUAUCCAUUGACACUGCUUUUCCACUGUUGCAGGACCUCAACUGUUAUAAGGACCUCCACUGUGGCAGGACCUUCAGUGUCUCAUCAACUUCACGGUGAGCAACACCAAUGUGCAAGACCUCUACUAGCACAGGAUAUGCACAGUAUCUAUACUUAGACUGUUGCAGUACCUUAACUGUUGCAGGACCUCCAAUUUAGAACAUGCACUCUUUUAGCACCUAGACUUUUGCAGGACCUCUACUGGCACAAUAUUUCCUCUGUUGUUGGACCUCCACCGUCAGUUCAAUGGCACUGACUCAUGACAUCCACUGUUGCAGGACCUCCAAUGUUGAAGGAUGUUCACUGUUGCAGGGCAUUCCCUGUCAAAGGACCUCUGUUGAUGCAGGAUCUCCACUUUCACUGUUCUAGCAAACCAACUAUUGCAGAACCUACAGUGUUGGAACAACUGCAUUGUAUCAGGACAUUUACUGUUGCAUGACCUGUAGAGUGGAAACACCCCCAUUUUUACCAGAUCUCAGCUGUCCCAGGCCCAUCUCCACUGACUGAGGACCUCCAAUAAUGCAGGACAUCCAAUAUUUCAGGACCUCAAAUGUGCCAGGACCUCAACAGAUGAAGGAUCUCCAAUAUCGCAGCACCAAAACAGUCACAGGACCUCCAUUGUCCCAUCACCUUUACUGUCCCAGCACCUCCACUCUCACAUGACCUACAAUGGUGCGUAAACUCCAAUGUCCGAGGAACUGCACUGUCUCAGGACCUCGAUUGUUCCAGAACCUCCAAUGGUGCAGGACCUCCACUGUCACCAGAUCUCCACUGUCUUAGAACAUCCACUCUAUCACCAACUUGACUUGUGUAGAACCUCUCCUGGCACAGCAUCUCCAUUGUGCCUGGUCUGACAUUGUCUCAAAACUUCAGCUAUCACAGGAAUUCCACUGUAGCAGGACCUCCUCUGUCUAAAGACAACCCCUAUUGCAGGACCUUUACUGUGCAAGGAACUCCACUGUUGCAGGACAUCCAUUCUUGCAACACCUGCAUUGUCUCAGGACCUCCACUGUACCAAUCCCAUCUCCAAUGUCUCAGGACGCCCACUCUUUCAGGACCUCCACUGUUGCAUGAUCUUGAAUGUAAAAGGACCUUCGCUAUCUCAGUGCCUCCACUGUUGCACGAACUACAAUGUCUCUCAGUGCCUCCACUGUUGAAGGACCUACAAUGUCACGGGUGCUGCACUGUUUUAUCAACUCCACUAUCACUUAUUACAAGGCUUUGCUGGUUAUUUAUUUUGAAGUUUAAUGGAGAAUGAUGUUACUUUUGACAAAAUAAGAAUUUGUUCCAAACCGCUUGUGAUUAAUUGCCAUAUGUGCAAGGAUCAGUUGCCCCUAGAAGAUUGCAUGAAUCCAUAGGCCUCUAGACCUCACCUUGUGGGAACCGUUUCCUUUUGGUGGUGAUACCGUCCUGGUAAAGGCAUGGGGUAACAGGACAACUCUGAAGUCUGGGGUACACAUCAGUCAUAUUGAGUCCUUGUUCGGAAGAGGAGAAAUCUAGAAGAGGGAGAAGAAUUGGCAGAAGAAUCAUACAGUACUUAAAAAGUUAAGACAGAAACGAUUUUGCAGAAAUGGAUACCAGAGACAGAGCUAAGCAACACAGAGCAAACUGGAUAGAACAAAGCACAAAGGUACCUGUCCUUGCCUGCCUGCCGCUUAUUUUUUGGAUGCUGUCUCCAGCCCUCAUUUCUCAGGAGAGAUACUGUCCUGUCCCAGGAGAGUUUUCUUGCUUGAUUGAGCACAGGAACACUGCUUCAUUUGGAUAUUCCUAAUUUCUUGGACCAUCCCUUGAAUCCUCUUAGCCAGCCACUGAUGGGGACAGACUCGCCCUCUCCUCAUGCACAGAGAGAUAAUAGGCUGUCUUCUGUGUUCUCAUUGAUGCUUCUGUUCGGCCUGAGGCUGCUUGUUGAAUGAAAGAAGAAGACACUCUGACAUGUAUGUUUUGUCCAGGUCAUCUGUAGUGGCCUGAGAAGAAAGCCAGUCCCAGUGGUUCUUCUGAAAGCUCUAUGACUAGAAUAUGGACAAAGGCAUAAAUGAGGCCAUGGGGUUGACAAGACCAAUGUGUCAAUGGUGGGUUGGUUUCCACUCUCUGCAGUCCAGUCCUAGAGGGACAGCAGCAUAAUCAUUAAGGGUAGGGAAUGGAGCCAUUACUAGACUCACUGUCUGAGCCUGGGUAUGAAGCCAGGCAUCAGAAUAGCCUGUCCUUCCAGUAAGCAGUUGGAUGCCAUGAACCGCUUAGACUUUCUUUGAUGUAAAGAAUCUUUGUCUUGUGUUUUGAAUGGAACAUGUUGCACUAUAUCCAAAAUUCCAGGGUGUGGCCUGAGAGGUAUCAUUUCUUCAUAGGGAUUUGGGAAACGCUCCCAAUCUUCUUUGAAACAGGGGUGCAUUAUCAUGUCUGUGACUGAUAUUUCUGGGUUUGACUGUUAUUAAAUGCUAAGCAGGACAUCUAGCUCUCUUGAAACCCCACAGUGGUCAAGAUGCACACCUGCCACAACCAGUCUUUUCAGCUCUUAUAUUAAAACAGAGGUAACUUUUUCAGCUACCAUAAAAUGUAAGACUAACAUUCAUAUGUGGUUCUUUGGACCAUCAUAAGUAUAACCCAGGAAGAGUUCAGGGGCAUCAAAAGUGUUAGCACUGUAGUACAGGUUCAGCAUUUGCUCUGGUUUGUCUUGGGUACUAAGGCCAAUGUCGAUGAUUUUGACUUUAUUGUUCUUAUCCACCAUUUUAUUUGUUUUGAAGUCCUGUAUUUAUUCUGUGCCCCUGACAGUAGAUCCAGGCUGCUAAUAUCUGCAUAAGUAUUUCCCAUGCCUUGUCUUUCACUAUGUAGCCAUACUUUCAGAUACAUUUAUGAAGACAUUGAGCCUCACACAGCUCCAUGACAAGGUAUCUACUUGUUUUCGUCUCAAUUAUUGAAGAUGAUGUUGGAGUGGUUAACCACAAUUGUCAUCAUUGCCAUGGUCAUUAUUGGAUGGCAUAAGUGCUUCUUCCUCACAAGGACUUGGAGGCCACUGUAGCAGGACAUCAACUGUCUUAGCACCUGCUUUUUCCCCACACCUCCACUGUGCUGACUGUCCAAGCCUAUUUUGUGCUGUCUUGCCUGUGUUCUUCCUGCCUUUGCAGAAGGAAGUAGGAUGCCAUGGUCUGGUUAUAAUUUUGUUCAGUUGAAGUGUCCUUAGUUUCCGGCACUUGGAAUCCUAUAUAUUCCAUUGCUCUUAUACUUACAGGGUCUGGCCUGAGGGGGAUCAGUUGCUCAUAGGGAUUUGGGAACUGCGUCUAGCCUUAGUUGAACUAGGGUUGCAUCAUGACCACAGUGACUUUUGGCCUAUAUCUAGGGUUGACUGUCAUUAGGAGGCUAAGUAGGUCCUUCUGACACCACACCAGAGGCACCACACACACCUGCUACAACCUGUAUUCUCAACUCUAGAAUGAAGAGAGAGUCAAAUGGAAACUUUCUGACUGCCAUGAAAUAUAAAACUCCACCUAAGCGUCAAAUUUAGUUCUUUGGAACGUCAUAAAAUUUGCCAAAGAAGAGUUCAGGAACACAAAAAGUAUAAGUACUGCAGUGCUGGUUCAUCAUUUACCCUGAUUGGAAUGGGAUACUAAGGCCAAAGUUGGUAAUUUUGACUUUCCCAUUGAUGUACAACACAAUAUUCUUUGGCUUUAGGUGCCUGUGAAAUAUUGUGUGCCCAUAGCAGUAGCUCAUCACAGCUAUUAUUUACACAAUAUUUUGCUGGCCUUGCCUUGCUCUAGGUAGCCAUACUUUUGGGUGUAUUUGUAAAGCUGUUGCCCUUCAACCAGCUCCAUGAUUAGAUGUAUUGUUUUGGUCUAAAUUACUUGAAGAAUCGUGAUGAUGUUGGGGUGAUCAACCAUCAUCAUCACUUCCAUGGUCAUUGCUGGCUGGCAUUAUUUCUUCUCUAAUACAAGGACUUUGUUGGACACUGUCACAGGAACACCAGUGUGGUAGAAACUCUGUUGUCAAAUCAACUCCACAUUCUCAGGGCCUCCAAAUUGCAGGGCCUCUCCUGGCACAGGACAUACACUUUCCCUGUACUUCUACUCUCACAGAGUCUCAACUUUUCAGGACCUGAACUAUUGUAGGACCUUCACUGUUGCAGAAAAUUGAUUCUCUCAGCAACUAUUAUGUUGCAGGACCUCAGCUCGCAGAGAAAUUCCACUGCCGCAGGACCUGCAAUGUCAAUGUAAAUCUAGAGUCUCAAGACCUCCACUGUUGCAGGAGCUCCAGUGUUGUAGGAUGUCCAAUUUUGCAGGGCUAUCACUGUCAAAGGACCUCCUCUGUCACAGCCUAGACCUUCAGACUUAACUGUAAAACUAGUGGCAUUCAAGUAGCACCAUGACAAGGUAUUAUCUUGUCUCAGACUCAAUUACUUGCGUAGUGAAAUGAAGUUAGAGUGGUCAAAAAUCAUCAUCGUUACAAGCACUUUGAUGUGCACUGUAGCAGGACAUCCACUGUUCCAGUGUGGCUUCUGUCCCAGUACCUCCACUAUCACUGGACCUCCAGUGUCAUAGGACCUUCUCACUAACAGCGGCUGCAUUGUCAGGACCCUCAAUUUUCAGGACAUCUACUGUCACAGUAUGUGUACUGUUGCUGGACUUUCAUUGUCACUGCACCUAAACUGUCACAAGGUCAUCCAAUGUCACAGAGCAGUGUCUCAGCACCUCUACUCUCCCAGGACCCCACAGUCACAGGACCUCCAAUAACUCAGGAAAUCCAAGUUCCAUUACCUCAACUGGCACAGCGUGUCCACCCACUGAUGUUGGACUUUCACUGUGGUAGCACCUCAUCUAUCACAUGAAGCCCACUAUUGAAUGACCUCCACUUUUCAGGACAUCUAUUUCCUCUGAAACUAGAAUUGGCAGGACCUCCUCUGUCACAGUACGUCUACUGUCGAAGCACUUCCACUAUCACAGGACCUCUAGUGCUGCAAGGCUUUCACUAUUAUAGCAUUUCUGUUGUCGCCACACCUCUACUGGCUCUCCUACACCUGUACUGUCCCAUCACCUCCUAGGUCAAAGAUCCUGACUCGUGCAUCAAUUGAAGUUUUUCAAGACCUCCACUGUAGCAGCAUAUCCACUGUCCCAGCUGCUACUCCACUGUCAAAGAACCUGAAAUGUCUUAGGAACUCCACUGUUACAGGACCUCAACUGAUGAAGCACCUCAACUGUCACAGUACCUCCACUCUUGCAGUACCUCCAAAAACUCAGCCACUCCACUGUCACAAGUCUUCCAAUUUGAAGGAACUCGAAUGUUGCAGCACCUCCACAGUUGUCGAAGCACCAUUGAUAUGGCACGGGGACCUCCAUAGCUUCUACUCUAUAUUCUGAGGACCUCAACUGUUGAAGCACAUCCACUGUCCCAGGACCUCCAUUGACAAUGGACCUCAUUGUGUCAGGAACACCACUUUUGCUUGGUCUGUCCCUAAAGCCUCUGAACUGGCACUAGCUGAGGACAGACUUUCUCCCUACUGAGGCAUACCAGGAGAGUAGAUUGGCUUCUGUGUUCUUAUUGCCAUUGUUCUUCUCAGUGAGGCUGAUUAUUUAGUGUAUUCAGGCGACACUGGAGGCAUGGAUGCAUGUUUCUCCAGUGUGGGUGUCAUCUGGGGUGGCCUGAAGAGAGAAGGGCAGCACCAGGUGCUCUUAUGCCUAAUGAUGGACCAGUUUAUGGCCGCAGGGAAACAGAAAGCCAUUGGAGGAUGAUGAGACCAGUGUGCUUAGGGUGGGGUAGCUUCCACUCCUCUUGAGCCCAAAGGGAAUGAAUCAUUAUCAUCAAGGGUAGGGAAUAACUGAACUCAAUGUGUGAGCCUCUGUUGUUCAGCCUUGCACCUGGAGAACUUGCCAGGACAGUAAGCAACAUGAUCCCAUGGGUUGAUUAUACAUUGUAAUAUCUUAGGCUCUGGACUCAGUAUGUUCCAUGUUGUCCACAAUUACAGGGUCUUGUGUGAUGGAGCGCAGUCCUCAUAGGGAUUUAAAAAGCCUUCCGGUCGUCCUUUAACCAGCAGUACAUCAUCACAUCAGUGACUGUCAUCCUAUAUUUCAUGUUGAGUAUCAUUAAGAGGCUAAGCAGGUUAUCCAUCUCUUCUAACACCCAACAGGUGGCAGAAUACAAUUGCCACAACAAGUCUUUUCAAAUCUAGUAUGAAUACAGAGUAAAGAUCUUAACUUUUUAAGUACCAUGUAAAACUAAGGUCCAAAUGUCAUUUUGUGGACUAUCAUAAAGUUUGCUGGGCAAGAGUUCAGGAGUUCCAAAAGACAAAGCACCACAGUGCCAGUUCAGCAUUGCCCUGGUUCAACUUGUGUUCUAAGGCGAAAGAGAGUCUAUGAUUUUAACUUACCCAUUUAUGUCCAACAUAAUCUUAUAUGGUUUGAGUUCCCUGUGUACUAUACCAUGCUCAUGGCAUUAGCUCACAGUUGCUCUAAUUUGCUUAAAUAUUUGCCUGACUUUAUCCUCCUCUACCUUACCCCAAUUUUCUGGUGUUUUCAUAAAACUGUUGUCCUUCAAUGAGCUCUUACUUGGGGAAAUAAGAUGCUGUUCAGGUGGUCGACCAUCAUCAUUGUCUCUGCCUUGGUCAUGAGUGGCUGGCACCAUUGCUUCUUUAGAAGCAGUUUGAUGGUCAUGGGGCUGCCAGGGAGCUGAUGGUGUGGUAUUGGGACCUUGGUGUUGCUCCUGUGUCCCAUGGUCCUUAAGUCUUUGUAUUGACAGUGGAAGUAUACCUCCUCAGAGAUUCUGCUCAGGUCUAGGGUGUUGUAACUCCUCCUUACUAUGUGUAAGCAUUGUAGUUAAAAACUACAAAUAUUCCCUAGAAAUAACUUAAUAAGAAUAGAAUAAAAA